UUGGUGUUGUCCUAUACUUGUAGUUGUGAGUUUGUUUAUUUGAUUUUGAGCAUUCCAGUCUCUGUUUGAGUUAAUUCUGAGAUGUGGGUAGUUAGAAAGAUUGUAACUUUGUGUGGUUUGAUGCAUAAAUUGGGACCUGGAAUUGAAAAUUGAAGAUCAUGAUGGGAUAAUUGGACUCAUGCCUUGUAGUUUGCUGCUUGUAUUUGUGAGUUAUGUGAUGUAUAUAUGCCUUGUGGACUUAUGGAGCUGAUGUAAAUUCCAGAAAUUACUGUGGGCAGAGAUCUGCGGUACCACUUGUCAAGCCUCAUAAUUUCGUGCACGCUGAUGAUUAUUUGGUUUUGGAGGAUGAAAGUGGAAGAGUUAAGCUUGCUGGGACCGUGCUUUCACCAUCUGUAUAUGUAACAGGGAAUAUUGUUGGCUUGCACGGAAAAGAGACCGGUGCAGGUGAAUUCUUAGUACUAGAUGUUCUCGAGGCUGGCUUACCACCCCAGAUUGAGCUGCCACUUAAAUCAAGUACAACAUUAUUACCUCUC